ensembl:snoRNA
AGCCUCCUGGUGCUUACCACAGGCUGCAUUCUUACACUGCCUGUACAGAAAGAGGAGGCAGAGUAAACCCACCCAUAUACACCCCAGCCCAGGUGCUUUGUGCCUGGUCUGUAUUGUGAAUGGGGAGACAUGG